rnacentral:rRNA from 1 species
CGAGCGAGUCUGCCUUGAGAUCGGAGUGCUUGCACUCUGUGAAACAAGAUACAGGCUAGCGGCGGACGGGUGAGUAACACGUGGGUAACCUGCCCAAGAGAUCGGGAUAACACCUGGAAACAGAUGCUAAUACCGGAUAACAACAGAUGAUGCCUAUCAACUGUUUAAAAGAUGGUUCUGCUAUCACUCUUGGAUGGACCUGCGGUGCAUUAGCUAGUUGGUAGGGUAACGGCCUACCAAGGCGAUGAUGCAUAGCCGAGUUGAGAGACUGAUCGGCCACAUUGGGACUGAGACACGGCCCAAACUCCUACGGGAGGCAGCAGUAGGGAAUCUUCCACAAUGGACGCAAGUCUGAUGGAGCAACGCCGCGUGAGUGAAGAAGGGUUUCGGCUCGUAAAGCUCUGUUGUUGGUGAAGAAGGACGGGGGUAGUAACUGACCUUUGUUUGACGGUAAUCAAUUAGAAAGUCACGGCUAACUACGUGCCAGCAGCCGCGGUAAUACGUAGGUGGCAAGCGUUGUCCGGAUUUAUUGGGCGUAAAGCGAGUGCAGGCGGUUCGAUAAGUCUGAUGUGAAAGCCUUCGGCUCAACCGGAGAAUUGCAUCAGAAACUGUCGAGCUUGAGUACAGAAGAGGAGAGUGGAACUCCAUGUGUAGCGGUGAAAUGCGUAGAUAUAUGGAAGAACACCGGUGGCGAAGGCGGCUCUCUGGU